rnacentral:rRNA from 1 species
UACGGGGGGGGCAAGCGUUGUUCGGAAUUACUGGGCGUAAAGCGUGCGCAGGCGGUUUCUUAAGUCAGAUGUGAAAGCCCCGGGCUUAACCUGGGAACUGCGUUUGAAACUGGGAGACUUGAGUGUGGCAGAGGGGGGUGGAAUUCCACGUGUAGCAGUGAAAUGCGUAGAUAUGUGGAGGAACACCGAUGGCGAAGGCAGCCCCCUGGGUUAACACUGACGCUCAUGCACGAAAGCGUGGGGAGCGAACAGG